CAUGCACUAGUGGGGUCCCUUGGCCUGGUCUGUGGAUCAGGCUAAAACCGGCUCUCUGACAUUACCCAAGGGGUCCCAGAAUGUGAGAGGGUGCAGGCCAGGCCGAGGGACCCCACUGGUGCACA
rnacentral:pre_miRNA from 1 species